UGAGCUUGCCAGAGAGCUGCCACCUGGCCUCGGGUUCCCAGGGGUGGCACCAGUAAGCCGUGGUCUGCAGGCCAGAGGAAGACACAGCCCCUACCAUGCCCACCAGGUCAGGAGGAGCCCAACAGAGCCCCUACCCAGCCUAGGAGGAGGCCUUAGCCCAGCUCAUAUCUGGCUGUGUUGACAGUCACAUGGCAUGGCCACCCUGGCCCCAAAGCCGGUGUGUUGCCACCUCCACACCAUGAGCUGCCCGCUCUCCCCCCGACACGCAGAGGAGAGCCUGCUCAAGAGCACUGGGAAGCCUGGGAGACCGUGGCCGCCGCUGAAUGCUGCCAAGGCCUUUGGGAGCACGUCUGUCCCCAGCCCGCGCCCUCCGCUCAGAGACGCUGCUCGGCCUGCAAGAGCUUGCCGAAAAGUCAGCCUCGAUGGACGGCAAGAUGCACCUGUCAGCCACAAAGGAGCCCCCCGAGGUGCAGACCCCCAUGCCCGCCGCACCCGUGGGGAGAAAACAGUCCUGGAUUUCCUGUCGUGGGUUUUGUGACUCUGAAAGCCGAGGCUGCUGAUUGGGAAUUAAAUCCCAGAGGACACUGCUCCGCACACUGGAAACCCAGCAGCUGCUGCUGUUCCCAGCAAUUUUUUUCUAAAUUGAAACAUCAUUUUCUAUUUUUCUUCUGA